rnacentral:lncRNA from 10 species
GCUCUCCCUGCUGUGUGCUCAACAACCUUUGAACCCUAAGUGCUGUCCAUGCAGAUGAGGCAAAGGGAAUUUCCCAGGUUCUGGGAUUAGGAUGUGGACCUCUUCAGGAACCAUUCUUCUGCCUAUCACAAUGGAUGCCCAGAGGCCUAAGAGAUUGUUUUCGAGCAGAGGAGAGAUGACAGAACCCAGACCAGCCCAGAGAAGAAGGACAAGCAGAAGGGAUGGGCAAGGAAAGACAAACAACAUGGCCUGAUUCAGAGACACUGGCUGAGCGAGCAGGAUAAGAAAAUAACAACAGGGAACAGAUGAGGACCCCUGGUCCAGCAUGGUCUGAGUACAUAGGAAACCUCAAUGAAUGCUAAAUAGUUGGAUGGAUGAAUAGAUGGGCACUCAUCUACAGGAUUCUGAUACAGUCAUGGCAUGCACCACAUUGUCUCAUCUUGGGACUAAACAUCCCAGUAUGACAGCUAGGAAGGAUUCAAUUAAUCCCUAUUCAUUAAUUCAAGGCAGCAUAAGAGAUGAUCCAGGGUGUGGCUUCAGGAGUCAGGCUGCCUGAAUUCAAAUUCCUAUUCCAAGAUUUCCUAGCUGUUCUACCUUGGGAAAGUUGCUAUAUCUCCCUGAGUCUCAAUUUCUCCAUUUGCAAAGCAGAAAUAAUGAGAGUACCAACACAUAGCGUGGUUGUGAGAAUUAGAUUAUUUAUAUUAAGUGCUUAACACAGUGCUUGGUGGAUAGAGAAAACUAAAAAUAAUAUUAAUUAUUAUUAUAAAUUACUAUUAAUUUCAUGGUUGCUUACCGUGUCCUUUUCUUUAUUAUUAAUAAUAAGAUAACAGAGAUACUGCCCAGUAACCCAAUUUCCUUCAGUGUUAGAGUCAAUGGCCUUACAAUGGCCCACAGGGCCCUGCAUGACCUUGCUUCAUGUCUUGUCUGGCCCUGCCUUCCAUCUCCCUCCCUCUUUUCCUCUCUGCUCUUGCCACACUGUGCUUCAAACAUGCCAGGCAUGCUCCUGCUCAGGCUCUUGGCAGCCGCUCCCUACCAGGCUCAUCCUCCAGAGGGCCUCAUGACCCACUCCCUCACCUCCUUCAAGUCUUUGUUCUGAUAUCCCCUUCUCAGUGAGGUCUUCCCCCGCCCCUUUUAAAUUGCCCAUUCUGCCCUAUCCCUGGCACUCUAAUCUCCCUUCCUGCCUUAACUUUAUCCCCAUGGCACCUACCAAGAUGUGACUCACCAUGCACUUAACUUAGUCAUCUUGUUUAUUGUCAACUUCCCAUAGCAGAAUCUCAGAUCUAUGAGGGCAGUGAGUUAUAGCUCUUCUGUUUCC